rnacentral:sRNA from 1 species
ACAUUUCAAGUCACUAAAAAUCCAUAUAAAUCACAAACAAUAACAACCCCUAAAAAGAUUUUGGAAAAACUAAUCAUAGAAAUUAUGCAAAACUCUCUAGUAAUCAUUGAAAAUCUUUAAUUUAUCUACUUUCAAUAUAUUUUUAAAGUCAUUAAGUGUGUGAUUGGUUCAUCUGUAACUGUAGAUUUUUGCUGUAGAAUUUUUGUUGUAUGUGUGAUGACUGUAGCCAUAGAUUUUAUUGCUGUAGAAAUUAGGCUGUAGAUUUUAUUAAUUUAAUAUUAUUACUUGAAGAAAUUGGUUGUAGAAAUAAGAUCAUGGUUGUCUGUAUAUUUAAACAAAAAAAUAUUAUUGGUAAAUUGUACUUAUGUGUUAUAUAAUAGAAUUCACAAAUAUCAAUUUAAUAUAUAUAUAUAAACAAUGUAAGUUAUAUAUAUGUCAUAAAGUAGAUAUUUACCUAUUAUUUAUAUCCAUAAAACUAAAUUUAAUAUAUAUAUAUAUAUAUGAAAACUAUAGUAAUGUUUUUUAAAAAAAUGAGAAAAAAGUGAAAAAAAGAGAAAGAAGGUAUAGACCUUCUAAAGACCAUAAAAUUGUGCUUUAGAAAAACAUGAACUUACAGACAAAAUAAUUAAAAAAUAUUAUUUGGGCUCUGAGAAAAAAUAGAAAAGCUAAAGAAUGAUUGUUUAAUUUUGGGGUUGUAACUUUUUUAGUGGCUUUAAAAACUUUUUACAGCCCAACCAAUCAUGGCCUAAAAUUCUUUCAAAAUCACAAACCAAUAACACUCCCUAAACGUGGAAAUUGAACAACAACAAAACCAAGCGUGUAA